GCGCUUAGCUGCCGUUGGGGCAGGUUCUAUAUAGUUGUGAUCUGUGAGUCAGCGUCGGGCUGUCGUUGCGACAGGUCCGUUACCAGGAACGAGUAAAGUUACUUGAACUGCAGAUACUGUGCAAGUGUUGUUUCUUUAGUCCUGUCAGACAUUCAGUGAUUGCGGGAACUCUUCAAUGUUAUUCUUGUUCGACUAACUCCAUAUCGGAUGUUUGCUCUACUGCUGAUGACCUUGCAAGCGGUUCUGGAGUAUCAAGUGUUACAUGCUAUGAAGAACAGCGUUGUUGGACUGAUCAUUAUGAGAACUCAUCACACACGGUUGUGUCGCGUG